rnacentral:rRNA from 1 species
UACGUAUGGUGCAAGCGUUAAUCGGAAUUACUGGGCGUAAAGCGUGCGCAGGCGGUGAUGUAAGACAGUUGUGAAAUCCCCGGGCUCAACCUGGGAACUGCAUCUGUGACUGCAUCGCUGGAGUGCGGCAGAGGGGGAUGGAAUUCCGCGUGUAGCAGUGAAAUGCGUAGAUAUGCGGAGGAACACCGAUGGCGAAGGCAAUCCCCUGGGCCUGCACUGACGCUCAUGCACGAAAGCGUGGGGAGCAAACAGG